rnacentral:misc_RNA from 1 species
GAUGAAGAACGUAGCGAAAUGCGAUACUUGGUGUGAAUUGCAGAAUCCCGUGAACCAUCGAGUCUUUGAAUGCAAGUUGCGCCCGAAGCCAUUAGGCCGAGGGCACGCCUGCCUGGGCGUCACACGUCGUUGCCCCCCCCAUCUACUCCUUCGGGAUUGCGGGGGGCGGAUGAUGGCCUCCCGUGCGCCUCGCCGCGCGGUUGGCAUAAAUGCCAAGUCCUCGGCGACGCACGCCACGACAAUCGGUGGUUGCGAAACCUCGGUUGCCCGUCGUGUGCGGUCGUCGCGCAUCGAGGGCUCGAAAAAAUUGCCGAGUUCCGGCUCGGCUUUCAACGCGACCCCAGGUCAGGCGGGGUUACCCGCUGAAUUUAAGCAUAUCAAUAAGCGGAGGA